AUGCAGACGCACCACCCAGCCCUCGCCGUCUCCGUCCGGCCGCCCCUUGGACUGACCACCCCCUCUGGGAUUGGGGCACUUAAAGGCUACCCCGGCCUCAAGGGGGACGAAGGAGAAGCCGGGGACCCGGAGAGGACAACAACGACGUCGCUCCCCGAGGCGCCAAAUGGAGCGAAGGGGUACCGAGGCCCUGAAGGCCCCCAGACCCCGGAGAGGCUGUGUCAGGCAGUUGUCAAGCAGUGGAUGGCAGCAGCAGGGACCCCCAGGACAUGUGGGACCACCGGGCCAGAUGAAUGCGAGAUUUUGGACAUUGUCAUGAAGAUGUGCUCCUGCUGUGAGUGCACGUGCGGCCCCAUCGACAUCCUCUUCGUGCUGGACAGCUCUGAGAGCAUCGGCCUGCAGAACUUCGAGAUCGCCAAGGACUUCAUCGUCAAGGUCAUCGACCGGCUGAGCAGGACGAGCUGGUCAAGUUUGAGCCUGGGCAGUCCCAUGCGGGCGUAGUGCAGUACAGUCACAACCAGAUGCAGGAGCACGUGGACCUGAGGGACCCCAACAUCAGGAACGCCCAGGACCUCAAGGAAGCCAUCAAGAAGCUGCAGUGGAUGGGCGGAGGCACGUUCACGGGCGAGGCCCUGCAGUACACCCGGAGCCAGCUGCUGCCCCCACUCAGAACAACCGGAUCGCCCUGGUCAUCACGGACGGCCGCUCAGACACCCAGAGGACACCACCCCGCUGAGCGUGCUCUGCGGCCCCUCCCCCCAGGUGGUCUCCGUGGGCAUCAAGGAUGUGUUUGGCUUAGCCGCGAGCUCCGACCAACUCAACGUCAUUUCCUGCCAAGGCCUGGUGACCCCGGGGCGGCCGGGCAUCUCGCUGGUCAAGGAGAACUACGCAGAGCUGCUGGACGACGCCUUCCUGAAAACAUCACCACCCAGAUCUGCAUAGACAAGAAGUGUCCGGAUUACACCUGCCCGAUCACCUUCUCCUCCCCGGCCGACAUCACCAUCCUGCUGGACGGCUCGGCCAGCGUGGGCAGCCACAACUUCGACACCACCAAGCGCUUUGCCAAGCGGCUGGCCGAGCGCUUCCUGACGGCGGGCCGCACGGACCGGCCCACGACGUGCGCGUGGCGGUGCUGCAGUACAGCGGCACCGGCCAGCAGCAGCCCGAGCGCGCGGCGCUGCAGUUCCUGCAGAACUACACCGUGCUGGCCAGCACCGUGGACGCCAUGGGCUUCUUCAACGACGCCACCGACGUCACCGAUGCCUCGGCUACGUGACCGCUUCUACCGCGAGGCCUCGUCCGCGCCGCCAGAAGAAACUGCUGCUCUUCUCCGACGGCAACUCGCAGGGCACCACGGCGGCCGCCAUCGAGAAGGCGGUGCAGGAGGCCCAGCGGGCAGGCCUCGAGGUCUUCGUGGUGGUGGUGGGCCGCCAGGUGAACGAGCCCCACAUCCGCGUCCUGGUCACCGGCAAGACGGCCGAGUACGACGUGGCCUUCGGCGAGCGCCACCUGUUCCGCGUGCCCAGCUACCAGGCCCUGCUCCGGGGCGUCUUCUACCAGACUGUGUCCAGGAAGGUGGCCCUGGACUAGUGGCCCAGCCUCAGCCCUGAACGUGAGAACUGGACCCCAAUCUCCUGACCCACCCGAUCAGCUAGGAGAAGCUUGAAAAGCCGCCCCGUGCCUGGCCCACCCCCACCCCCGCACAGUCCGCCCCAGUGCCCCCAGCCCUGGGUUCUGCAGGCGCCCUUCCUGCCACCUGCGCUGCAAUCCCCCUCCCCGCUGCCUGUCAGCCGCCCCCGAUCCCGAGUCAGAGCCCCGAAGCCUGGCUUCUCCUUCCGUCUGGGGUCAGCGGCGACCGCCUCCCCGCCGCCACGCCCCCCUCAGAGUUGACUUCCUCGCAGCUCCUGCAGCAUCCUUCUCAGCACAGCCCCAGGCGCUGGGUCACGAGCACGGCCCCCGCUGGCCGCCUGGUUCCAGCCGCCUCAGGCCAAGGGCUCGAGAGGCUCAGGACGUGGCCUGACACUGACCAACUGAACCCGGGCCUCCCGGCCCCGGGGCCCCCCAACCCAGAGCAAAGGUGCUAUCUCUUUCCCAUCCCCACGAGGCCCCGGCCCCGCCACCGGCGGCAAAGUGAGAACAAGACCAAGUCUUUUCCUCGGGGGUGCCUGGUCUACACUUCACGGGGGCCCCUGGUCCUGCGUCAGCUCGGCUUUUGCUCCUUCCUGGGUUUUCCUCAACCGCGUCCGCGACGUUUCUGAAUAAAGGUUUUCACUCUCCUCCCCCGA